rnacentral:rRNA from 1 species
GAAUAUUGGACAAUGGGCGAAAGCCUGCUCCAGCCAUGCCGCGUGUGUGAAGAAGGUCUUCGGAUUGUAAAGCACUUUAAGUUGGGAGGAAGGGCAGUUACCUAAUACGUAAUUGUUUUGACGUUACCGACAGAAUAAGCACCGGCUAACUCUGUGCCAGCAGCCGCGGUAAUACAGAGGGUGCAAGCGUUAAUCGGAAUUACUGGGCGUAAAGCGCGCGUAGGUGGUUUGUUAAGUUGGAUGUGAAAUCCCCGGGCUCAACCUGGGAACUGCAUUCAAAACUGACAAGCUAGAGUAUGGUAGAGGGUGGUGGAAUUUCCUGUGUAGCGGUGAAAUGCGUAGAUAUAGGAAGGAACACCAGUGGCGAAGGCGACCACCUGGACUGAUACUGACACUGAGGUGCGAAAGCGUGGGGAGCAAACAGG